GACGAACGCUGGCGGCGUGCCUAAUACAUGCAAGUAGAACGCUGAAGAGAGGAGCUUGCUCUUCUUGGAUGAGUUGCGAACGGGUGAGUAACGCGUAGGUAACCUGCCUGGUAGCGGGGGAUAACUAUUGGAAACGAUAGCUAAUACCGCAUGAUAUUAAUUGUCGCAUGAUAAUUAAUUGAAAGAUGCAAUUGCAUCACUACCAGAUGGACCUGCGUUGUAUUAGCUAGUUGGUGAGGUAACGGCUCACCAAGGCGACGAUACAUAGCCGACCUGAGAGGGUGAUCGGCACACUGGGACUGAGACACGGCCCAGACUCCUACGGGAGGCAGCAGUAGGGAAUCUUCGGCAAUGGGGGGAACCCUGACCGAGCAACGCCGCGUGAGUGAAGAAGGUUUUCGGAUCGUAAGGCUCUGUUGUAAGAGAAGAACGGGUGUGAGAGUGGAAAGUUCACACUGUGACG
rnacentral:rRNA from 1 species